CCGUCAUAUGACGGCAGCGGUAGUGAUAAUUUUCAAAAAAUCGUUGUGGGCGCUGUGUUGGAGCUAUGCGCACGCUGUAGGUACCAGCACAUGCGCAUUGGGCUGCUCUUUCACGUGGUAUCUUUAAUAUCUUGCCUCGAAGUACACUUCGUGCAGUACUAAGUGACCGUUUGAUAAUGGCUACAAGAUCUUCGUAGUACAACCUCAGCCAGUAGACAGUGAGAAUAACGAUGCCUUGUUGAGUAAGAGGACAGUGAAUGGGAUCAUACCAAGAGAGGAAACUACUUUUCAGAGGUCAAGCUAUAAAUAUAGAGCCUGAAGAAGCAUGAACCAAAGUCCUGGACCUACUGUAAGUAACUAUGGAGUAUCAUAAUGUAGUAAAGAAAAAUGUGUAUUUAUUCUGUGUUUUGUUUUUUUAAUUAAAGCCGGGAAAGGGUUAAUAUUGCAAAUACUAUGUACAAACACAUGUCUCAUCCACAUGUCUCAUCCACAUGCACUUCUGUUGUAGUAACAUCUCUCUUGUCAAUUUCACGUAUAAUAACUUAAAUAGACAUAAACAAUUCAUUUGAACAAAUUGUUACGCAAAUUGUUAAGCGUAACAAAAUUUUUUUUACAGUGCAAAAGGUAUAGUUGGGGGAUGUUGGCUUUUCGGCCGCCAUCUUACAGUACACUCAACACGUCAACACGGAAUGCUCAAUUUAGUUGAAUUUAAAGGGAGGGUGACACGAAAAAAUCAACUUUAUUCUAUUUGGGACCCAAAAUAAUUAUUUUAAUUAAUUUAUUGAUGAAGUUACAGAGUGAGGCAGAUUUAGCAUCCUGUCUUAACAUACUUCCUGUUGUGGUUGAAUGUGGGCGCGACUACUACAUGAUGUCAUAGAAGGAACAGUUAUUGUAGCAACUAUGAGUUCAAGCAGUGAUGACCAGUGAAUUUUCAGAACAUGGAGAAACAAUUGAGCCUGAAGAGAGUGACACACCAUGUACCAUUAGACACAAAGAUGAUGACUCUGACUCUGAAGGUGAAGAGAGACUCCUCAACAGACAUUGGUGUCAUGGAGUGUGGAAACUGUGUUAUAAUGCCAACGGGAUGGAAAGUGUCGUGGAAGAAAAUCACACUGAUAUAAGUUGCUAUGAAUGAUUCACACCGGUGUGCCUCGAUGUGUGGAUGUGUGGGUACUUCAAACAGCAUACUCUAACUACAGAUAUCAUUAUGUCGACAGCGAGAGCGAGUCCCAAAAAGAAGUACAAAACUUGGAAACUAUUGGCGUGCCCUUUCAGGAUGAACUGUUUGUCCCAACGAAACAGAGAUCCCAACGAAACAGAGACGCCAACAGCGAGCAAAACAUUUCCAAUGCAUUGGUCUAUAAAUUCAAAGAUACGUCAGCGGCAGGGGUUCUAGAAGAAGUCAGUACUGAACCUCAAAGAAAGGAGAAUUUUUCUACAACUGGCCUUCAUGCUAAUCAGUCAGUCACUUGAGUGUGUGUGUGUGUGUGUUGUGUGUGUGUGUGUGUGUAAAAGAGAGUAUUAGUAAUUAGCUGCACCGCUAAUCUCUAAUCAAACCCCACCGCAUUUUCCGACAUACACCGUAGUGGGUCCUUCUAUGUAGUGGGUCCUAUGUAGUGAACACUUUACUAUAAUUAUUAACAAUCGUAUACUUUUUUUGUGAUUCUUUUUUUGUGAUUCUUAUUUUUUGUGAUUCUUACUAGCAAGUAAAAGUUUCUGGCCACUGCAAAAUGUGUUUGCUAAUGCACAAUGCAUGAGGUUGGCCCCGAAGAACAUACCUUCAAUUAUUGCCUCCAUAUUGAGUUCGAAGAUGAAAUGGGUGUAGACCAAGGGAUUUAUUCUGUGCUAUAACUUGAUGUUUGAUGGAUCUUCAAUCCCCUAAAACGUCAUCAUGAUAGUAGGAGUCCAUAAUUUAAAAUUUGAGGAUACCAUAGACUAUUGCGUAUGCGAUCUCCCAGUGCCUGGAAUCGAGCAGUGGGUAUAGAGCAGUGGGUAUAGUAUCAAGGUCCAGACUGAAUUAAGUAGUAUUAUUAUAUAUUACACACACUACGGGUGUUAAACAGUAUCUUAACAUACUACUCUGGGUAGUUAGGCCCGGGUCUAGCCUUAAAUACCAAAUUUACACUAUGUUCAUUAUUUGCAUCAAAAUGACGCAUCAAAUGAUCGCUCAAUGUUCAAAAAACUAAUUAGUCAUGCUAAUUAGUCCCAUAAAUGGUGAUGACGUCAUGGUUUGUAAGAAGAACUAUAUACAAUAAGAAGAACUAGAAGAACUACAAAUGCGGACAUGAAGAAGCUAAGAUCAAGCUUAGGCUAGAUGAACAUCUCAUAGCUAAGUACAUGAGAGCUGGGGAAGAGUAAACAUUCUUGAGAUAGCUAGAGUGGCCAGCAUAGCUAAGGCAGUUUUGCACAUAUUAACCCUUUCCCCGUUGAAGCAAUCCCUACAUACGAACGAGGUGUGGGAUCUAGUGAAACUUCCCAAAGACAGAAAAACUGUUGGUUUAAGUGGGUUGCUAAUGGAACAAUCGAAAGACACAAGUAGGAUACUCCCAACGAUAUUACGAUGAAACAUUUUCGCCGGUAGUAAUCUCAGAGAACUGUUGUAGCACUUGCAGUACAGCAGUUGCAUCAAAUGGAUGUCCUUCUUAAAUGGAUAACUGCAAGAGGAUUCGAACUCUUGUGGACACAUUUGGUGAAAGCAAAAGAUGAGGACACUUUUGUAGAUCAAGCACGAAGUCUCUCCGCUGCCACAAGGCCUGAUAUAUUACCUAUGCUGUCGGUAAUGUGGCUAAGUUUUGUGCAAAGCCAACAAAGCAAUAUUGGAUGGCUGUAAAGCGAAUCUUUCGGUAUCUGAAAGGGACUCAGAAGUAUGGUCUCCUCUUCAAGACAAGGGGUUUCUCUGACGCUGACUGGGGUGGUGAUCGCAAGUCUACCUCUGGGUAUGUGUUCCAAAUUGGUGGAACAAAUUGGUGGAACAGCCAUAAGUUGGCUUGCGUGGCACUCUCAACCGCAGAAGCGGAGUACAUUGCCCUUGCCAGUACUGCUCAAGAAUCUGUCUGGUUGCAGCAAUUACUUGCCGAUAUAACCACCGAAGAAAAUGGUCAUCUUUGAAGACAACCAGUCUGCUAUAAGUAUAGCUCAGUUCCAUGGUACAUAUUGGAUAUUGUCGAACGAACGAUAUGCUCGCUGAUUGUAUGACCAAAGCCGUCAUAUAACGGCCACUCUAGUGGUCAUUUUCAAAAAUUCGUUGUGCCCGCUGUGUUGGAGCUAUGCACACGCUGUAGGUACCAGCACGAGCUGCUCUUUCACGUGGUAUCCUGCCUCGAGGUACGCUUUGUACAGUAAAAAGUGACCGUUUGAUAAUGUUUCGUAGUACAACCUUAGUGAGGUUCUAAAGUAUAGUGAGAAUGUGGGUGAGAGGACAUAGAUAAAAAGCUACCUCAAAGCUAGAAAAUAUAGAGCCUGAAGGCCUGAGGAAAAAGCUCUGAGGAAGAAGCUCUUGCGAUGGAACAACUUCUUGGUAAGGCUUCAGUAUAACUGUGUUUAGGCUAGUUAGUACAGCAGUGGACAUAAACAUUUCCCGGGAAAAAGGAUACGACCUCGCAGAGAUUGAACCAUGUCACUGUGAGAACACUUAUUUAGUGUCUUUAGCCACUCUGUGCCCUCAUACAGUGUACAUAGUUGUGAAUGUACAUAGUUGUGAAUAUUUGUAAACAAUUGCUAAUUAGUGGGGGUGGUCAGUUGCUAGGUAACGAAGAUGGUAUGGUUCAUGACAUGAAUUUUAAUUAUUUAUUCCCAGCUGGUUUAUUCCCAGCUGGAAACAUAAUCAUGACAACCAGAGGAGGUUGGACGCGCGUCAUCAUGACGCGCGCAGUCAUAUAACUAUUAUAGGAAUUCCUUUGAGGUCUGGUAAAGGUAAAAUUAAUGCUGAUGGUUAUACAAAUGUGAUGGUUAUGCAAAUGCAGUGCAGCUAGUGGUGACAAGACACAUGAAAGGACAUCACCCAGUAUCACAAGAGAAUGUAAAAGUUGUGAGGAAUCUUUUGAGAAUCAUACAGUUGGAUACAGUUGGCAAUCCCCAGUUUCCCAUUUCAUGUUAGUUUAUUGUAUGAUGGUUUUCUUAAAGCUGACCCUGCAGGAUGUCUACUGAAAGUUUGCUAUGGUUUUACAAACGCAUUCCUUGUCGACGAGACAGAAGACAGAAUUCAAUCAGAGUAUAGACACUGUAGUGCUAACAUUGUUUGACGAUUCAAAGGUUUUUGUAAUCCGCAAAAUCUCCAGACAAUAUUGCUUUAGAUUGCAUCAUUGAUAUACCAGAGUCCAUAAGGCCAAGCUUGUUACCUCAACCAGCAAUCCAGAGAUACAGGAAGUGGGAAGAAGUACUAGAUCAACAUUCGACUAUACCCAAUGCUGACGAGGAUAAUGAUGAGGAGGAUCUCAGGUGAACCUUUAAUUAUUGCUGAUUCAGCUAAAACGAAGCUCCGCCCACGCUUUUUACCAGCAAUUAUGCUCUAAUUCCGGAGUCCUAAACGCUCCUUGAAGCACUUACUUACUUUUUAGUGUAGUACACACAGUAAUAUUCGGAAGGAGCCGUCUGCACUACGUAGAGUAAGUUAUUAGCUUUUACAUGUAAGCUAGAAAACUAAGGAACAGCUCCUUCCGAAUAUUACUGUGUGUACUAGCUAGUAAGUGCUUCAAGGAGACUCCGGAAUUAGAGCUAAAGAUCUAAGCAGUUUGAGAUCCAUUUUUAUGCACAAUUGCUGGUAAAAAGCGUGGGUGGAGCUUUGUUUCAGCUGAAUCAGCAAUAAUUGAACGACCCAGAACGACCCAGUCCUUAAUUCACUACUAGAAACUUAUAUCGGACGAUGAAAAGCUGAUUCACUCAAUAACUGUAUAGGAACCAGUAAAGAAGAGCAGUAUAUUUAGCUCAAGUUUCGGUGUUACAAUUGAAUUCAGGAUAAAACCAGAACCGGAUAAUGUUUUUGAUUCAAAAGUCAUUGCAUGGGAUAUAAUGUGUUGGCUGAUGUGUGGAAUGAUUAGGUUUAUAACACAUUGGAGUCGUAGCAAACCCGGUUGGGUCAAGAUUUGCAAGAACGGGCCCUGGAGCUAAUGACUGACUCAAUAUAAUAAGGACAAUCAAUUUACAUAUCUAUUAUUAUUACAUAUCUAUUAUUAUAUCAGAGUGCAUGACUUUCAUUAUUAAAAAGUAAUAAUUGCAUGUACAUGUAUAUGUUCAUCGAGUGAGUUAUGAGUAUGAGUAUGAAUGUUCAGCGAUAAUUUUUUGGACUGAAGUAGCACUGGUACGGCCGGAAAAGAUGCACAUCUAGAUAGUUUAACUGAUACUAGUUCUCCUCUCGGCAAUCGAUCAGUCGAUCAGAUUUAGUUUUUGUUGAAGGUACAUUAAACUGGCUCUUCAUAGAAACGGUCAUUACCAGUGUACGGUCAUUACCAGUGUAAUAAUAAAACAGCAGUGAAUGAUCCAUUCUCUUCAUGAAUUCAGUGACGACCACUCAAAGUAUGGUCGUCAAAGUAUUCAGCAUAUAGAAUUAUUAAAUUGAAACUAACCUGUUUCAGAGUGAAAUUUAGGCCUCUUAAAAUAGCUAAAAAAGCACUCGACAUCAUCAGUUGUUGACGAUCGGGGAUUUUCGAAGGGAAUACCACUGUCAGCAUUAGCAUUAAACCACCGGUAUCGCCAUUUUCUUGUCUGCCAUUUUCUUGUCUCAAUACUGGCAACAGUGCCACGGGACAGGCCUGAAAUUAAGAAUGUAGUAUACAGUGCAACAACCAAAGAGAGUAGAUUUUUUUUUUUGUGGCAUAUCUUCUAAAGUAAAAGUGAUAUGAUCUAUUUGAGUGCAGGUACUGAAAGUUCAACUAUUGGCGCUUCCAUUGGACCACCACCUGUUACAUCACAUGACAUCAUCAGUAUAAAAUGGCUGUCUGAAGAUGUGUACUUCCGAAAAUAU